ensembl:rRNA 5S_rRNA 5S ribosomal RNA
GUCUACGGCCAUACCGCCCUGAACGCACCCGAUCUCGUCUGAUCUCGGAAAAAGCACUAAUCAAAUAGGGUACUUUAUUCAUAAUUUCAGCUUGAUGUGGAGU